GCUGGGUGCGGUUCAUCUCCGACCGGCGUCCGAAGAGACCCUGCCUGCUCCCAUGGCGUUCGCGCUGCUGCGCCCAGUCGGCACGCACGUGCUGUAUCCGGACGUGCGGCUGCUGAGCGAGGACGAGGAGAACCGCAGCGAGAGCGACGCGUCGGACCAGUCGUUCGGCUGUUGCGAGGGCCUGGAGGCGGCGCGGCGUGGCCCGGGCCCCGGGGGCGGGCGGCGAACAGGCGGUGGCCCGGGCCCCGUCGUGGUGGUGAGACAGCGGCAGGCGGCCAACGCGCGGGAGCGGGACCGCACGCAGAGCGUGAACACGGCCUUCACGGCGCUGCGCACCCUCAUCCCCACCGAGCCCGUGGACCGAAAGCUAUCCAAAAUCGAGACACUGCGCCUAGCGUCCAGCUACAUCGCACACCUGGCCAACGUGCUGCUACUGGGCGACGCCGCCGACGACGGGCAGCCGUGCUUCCGUGCGGCCGGCAGUGCCAAGAGCGCAGUCCCCGCUGCCGCUGCCGCCGACGGCGGCCGUCAGCCGCGCUCCAUCUGCACCUUCUGCCUCAGCAACCAGCGCAAGGGGACCUUAUCCAAGAGCAGGAGACUGAGAAGAAAGGGAGACACAUACCCCAAUCAAGAGCCUGCAGUACCCAGCUGAUACGCAGAAGAAGACAAGAAGGGGGUCCCCAGAGACAGCACCCAGCCUCCAACGGGAUAGUGGUGGGAGAGUGGUGACACUCCUGGGUCAGCUGAACAGAGCUGGAGUUAAGCUCCUGUGGUGUUCCUGGGUGGCCGUCGUGACCUGGGGAGCAGCUGCUUGAAGGUGAGAGGGGUGGCCCCCCUUCGAGGGCCACGGAGAUGAGUCCGAGUCUCUAUGGCAUUUGCUUCAAAGAAGACCACAGAGAAGGAGACCAGGAGCCAGCCACUGGCUGGACAGGGGAGAAGACCCCAGGAGCUGAGCCUACCCCUUCUUUGGGUAGGGACCAGGGGACAAUGGCCUGGGCCCAGGACCCUUUGGGCAGGGAUCCUGGGAUAUCUCCAUCUCACCCUGGAGAGCUGUAAGGACCCAUUCAGCCCUCCCAGCACUGGCUGGUCAGAGACAAGGCAGAACUAUUGGAAAAACAAAGACUGUUGGUGACAGAGGGUAUGUGUGUGUGCUUGAGUGUGGGUGUUCGUGAGAGAGAGAAUUGGUGAAUUUAAAAUAAAAGGUAUUUUUAAAUAAAAGACAUUGUUCCCAGCUGAGGAAGGGAAGGGGCUGUGGACAUUGGAGGUCAGAGGCAGCCCCUCCCCUGGACCUAGAAAGCACAGCUGUUACAGGUGCUACCAGGAGCCCUGGAAAGGGUGGAGCUGGGCAGGCAGACAGAGCCGCCUCUUCAAGAAGGACAAACAACAAAACUUGCCUCAUAGUCUGCCAUUUAUCAAAUGUUCUUUAACAACUGUUUGGUGUCUGGUGUGUUUGGUAAAGAAAUCUUAAUUUUAUUUAUUUUUAAAUAAGGACUAUAUUCAUUUCAUUCACUUGGCUCAAAAUUCAAAAGGUACAAGAAGAUAUAUGGUGACAAGUCCCCCAACCCCUGCACUCCAGCCACUGGCGGUUCUCUGCAGUGUCCCAUUCCUCAUGAACAAUCCAGCGAAUACCCAAGUGACAGUACCUUGUACGCACUUUCUGCUCCUUCCUUUUCCUUUGUUUCUGCGUAGCUGGGUAUCAUCCCAAACCAGCAGCUGAAGGGCAUCCUCGUCUCUCCAUUAGCUUUUUUUUUUUUUUUUUGAGACAGAGCCUCAAGCUGUCCCCCUGGGUACAGUGCCAUGGCAUCACAGCUCACAGCAACCUCCAACUCCUGGGCUUAAGCGAUUCUCUUGCCUCAGUCUCCCAAGUAGCUGGGACUACAGGCGCCCACCACAACGCCCGGCUAUUUUUUAGUUGCAGCCAUCGUUGUUGUCUGGCCAGCCCUGGCUGGAUUCGAACCCGCCAGCUCUGGUGUGUGUGGCUGGCACCUUAGCCACUUGAGCCACAGGCACCGAGCCUCCAUUAGCUUCUUCUUAUCUCAUUUUAUGAAUACAAUGUACUUUAACCCAGCCCUCAUUGAUGCCAUCACAACAAGACUCUGGGCAUGAGGCUGUGCUGGCACGAGGCUGUGCAGGCAUGCAGUUCUCCACAUGUGCAAAUAAAUAUGUGCUAAAGGGAACAUUCUUAUCCUUGUUUUAGCUGAUUUGGAGAACCAAGGACACCCAAAGACACGUAACAGGGUACCACCCUGAGGUCUAUUCUCUUUAAAGCCCAAAGCAGCUCCUUGCCUUGACCUUGGGAUUUCCCAGGUGGAACCACCCUCCCUGUUACCCCAAUUAUACUCCAGCAGCUCUGGGAGGUGGGGCUGGUGUCACCCCAUUUUUACAGAUUUAGCAGAUGGGAUGGGGACAGCUUGUCCAUGAAGCCAGGAGUUCUUGGCUCUGGCUGGAGCCUUGUCCAGGCCAAGGUCAGAAAGCUCAGGAGCCCAGAGGGAGGGAGAGGCAGAGAGACAGUAACAGCCAGUAGCUACCCUUUCCCCAGCAAGGUAUGUUAAUGUGCUUAUUUCAAAAUUUUAUGUGUUUAAUAAAUAAACACUUUUAUUUAGUUUUCACUGACUGGAGUCUGGCUCCAGAGUCCACAUUCCUAAUCCCUCUGCUGUGCCCCCAUCCACUCCCUGCACACUUGACCCUGUAACUGAGGCUACCCGUUUUGCUGAUCAUCACAAAGAUUGCCAAGCACCCUCUGUGUGCCAGGUGCUGUGCCAGACA